rnacentral:tRNA from 2 species
GGCCCAGUUGCCCAAUGGAUAAGGCACCAGCCUUCAAAGCUGGGGAUUGUGGGUUCAAGUCCCAUCUGGGUUG